rnacentral:siRNA from 1 species
UUGAAGGUGAGUGUGUAAUUCUCU